AGGAAGCAGCCUCAGACUUUUUCCAGGGAUGAUACAGGGAGUGAAUCACUUGGAAAGGGUUGGCUGGAGCCUGUGGAAAAGUUUAAGCUUGAAACUGUGGCAUGGAUUUCUCCAAACUGAGGACGAGGCUGAGCCUAAGCCUCCAGAACCCUCCAGCUCUGGAGCUGAUGUCCCUGGACACGCAGCCUCACCCAGAGCAGUGGAUUGCCAUCCGUCCCUCGCCUCCAACCAGCUCCAUCCCUGACCCACCCGCCCACACUCAUCCCCGCCAAGCCUGUGGCUCUGCCUCCUCCUCCGCUGCAGCUGGUACCAAACCCGAGAGAUUAUGGAUAAACGUCAUUGGACAAAAGCAGGCAAAUUAUUUUCUACUUCACUUUCUCGGGAUGGUUUUUCUAAAAAGUAAUCUUUUUUUUAAAUUACACUGGGAUCCUCUGAGUACUAUAUGUGGAAGUGCUUUGAAAACUGUAAAGGACUGUGCAAACAUUAGCUAUUAUGUUCCUUCUCAGGCACCUUUCUGUAAUGGCAAGUAGAACCAAAACUUUCAAAGGGACAUUUUUACUCCCUUUUGGUUUUUGUUUUGGAUACUCAAAAACAUUCUUAAAAUUCAGGCAACAUGUAGUAUUUGAAAUUUUUCCCUUAUCCCUAUUUUUCAGUCAUAUUGAUCUUAAAGAAUUCCAUUUGGAGUACAUACCUGAAGUGUGACAUUACAAAUUAGUCACUCAGGAGUCCCUGUGAUCCUGACAGGCAAAACUAUUCACCAAGUAGAAUGUUUCAGCUUUCUGGUAAAAACCUCACUAGGAUAAUUUCCACUGGAGAUCUUUGUUAAACCCAAAAACAAGCUCUGAUGUAGGACUCCCAGGACAUGUAUGUAGAGAAGCACACCCGUGGGCUUUUAAAGAUAUCUACCCAGUACUCUGUUUCAAUGAUUUGCCAAUAGAAAAUAAA